CGCACAUUGCGCCCUUUGGUAUUCCGAGGGGCAUGCCUGUUCGAGCGUCAUUUAAACCAUCAAGCACUGCUUGGCUUUGGACCCGGGUCUCAAGCAGCACCCAGUCCGAAACUCACCUAGUGGCGUUCCCGUCGAGUCUCAAGCGUAGCAAGAAUUAAUCACUCGCUUCAGAAGCCUCGGGUGGGGACAGCCUUAAAAUUCACCUUUUAAGUUUGACCUCGGAUCAGGUAGGGAUACCCGCUGAACUUAA
rnacentral:misc_RNA from 1 species